GGCCUGUUGCGCUAACGGCAAAGCGGCGAAUCUCAAAAGUUCGUGAAUGAGGGUUCGAAUCCCUUGCAGGCUAC
rnacentral:tRNA from 1 species